UGGGGAAUUUUGGACAAUGGGCGAAAGCCUGAUCCAGCAAUGCCGCGUGUGUGAAGAAGGCCUUCGGGUUGUAAAGCACUUUUGUCCGGAAAGAAAUCCUUGGCUCUAAUACAGUCGGGGGAUGACGGUACCGGAAGAAUAAGCACCGGCUAACUACGUGCCAGCAGCCGCGGUAAUACGUAGGGUGCAAGCGUUAAUCGGAAUUACUGGGCGUAAAGCGUGCGCAGGCGGUUUGCUAAGACCGAUGUGAAAUCCCCGGGCUCAACCUGGGAACUGCAUUGGUGACUGGCAGGCUAGAGUAUGGCAGAGGGGGGUAGAAUUCCACGUGUAGCAGUGAAAUGCGUAGAGAUGUGGAGGAAUACCGAUGGCGAAGGCAGCCCCCUGGGCCAAUACUGACGCUCAUGCACGAAAGCGUGGGGAGCAAACAGGAUUAGAUACCCUGGUAGUCCCACGCCCUAAACGAUGUCAACUAGUUGUUGGGGAUUCAUUUCCUUAGUAACGUAGCUAACGCGUGAAGUUGACCGCCUGGGGAGUACGGUCGCAAGAUUAAAACUUAAAGGAAUUGACGGGGUCAUAGCUGUUUCCU
rnacentral:rRNA from 1 species